CACCUUGAGUUCAGAGUGGUGAAAACCUAUCAGGUGCAGAUCUGCUUUGGAGACUCUGAUUCUCUGAGACCCCAGAGAGAUGUCUUACCAAAUCCAGCAGUACAAGCAACCUUGCCAGCUACCUCCUGUGCAGAUCACUAAAUGCCCAGAGCCCUGUCCACCACUG